GCGCUCAGUUAAGUCACGCCAUUAUGAUCACGACCACCGCCCGCGGCCGCAGAACCUGCCCGCUCUGCACACCAGGGCGGACACCCACAGACGCGUCCUUCACCCGCGCAGGGACCUGCCAGGGGCGCUUAUACCGGAGGGUGUUCAGAGCAGGAAAGGAAGAGAUCAAAUCUGAACCCGGAUCCGUCUCCUACAGAACCUGAGUCGCUCAAUCAUCAGCUAGAUCGCCCCGUGUAGACAAAGCAAGUGGAAUUAUUUGAAGAGUAUACCUUGAGCUGGGCAAUCCUCAUAGAAGGUCGGGGACGACCUGCCCUUCAGUGUUCCUGGAGCAUCUUCUCCAAAGUGGAGGUCGAGCCAGGCCUAGGAGGAAAGAGAGGGCAACUGCGGACGACCCCACCGCAGAAGAGGUGAAACCGACGGGCUCCAGGUAGGUGUGUCCUCCCCAACCACACCCUCCCACAGGGCCCGGAGACUGGGGAAGGCCGGAGAUGAGAUUAGGGUCAGAGCCACACCCCUGACCCGCGUACAGGACAAACUGAAGCCACGCGUCUACACUGGCGCUCCGAACUGCGUUGGCCCAAAGCUUCUUCACCGCUUCCAGCGGAGGGCUUAAAGCGGUCCCCCCAGCCCUCACACAGCGGGUUUUCUCAGAACCCAGUCUCCAGAGACCGCCUGGAUUCAAAUCCUGCCGCCGCCCUCAGCCGCUGGGAGAGCCGGGCCUUGGCCUCACCUUCUUCCCAGCCUCACCUGCAGAAUGGGCGUGUCCCGAGGGUUAAAUGCCCUCAUCACCAUGAAGCCUUAAAACGGUGCCUGGCACAUGGCGAUACGCAAUAAACGUCCGCCAAAAUGACGUUAGCCAGGAUUCGCCCCGGAAGGCUUCCUGUUCUCAUACAGCCCUUCAAUGAGGGCUAAUCCCUUUGGCUCCUUUAACAACUUUUUUUUUAAUGUGGUUAGCACAUUUUGUUGACUUUUUUUUUUUUACAAAGACCAAGUCAGCAUGUCCUCUUAAAAAUAUCUUAAGAGAUUAUGUUUUGUUCCUACUUGCUUUGAGGAAUGACUUCGUCCUGGUUGAGUGGGGUGAAAACAGUGAAAUGCGAACAAGGAUAAUAAGACCAUCUUUCCUGUACUGUUUCUUAAAAAAGGAGGGGAGUGAGGAAUUAAAAAUUCAGAUGCUGGAUUUUAAAGACUGUCAUGCUAAGUAUUUUCUUAUCAACUUCCUUUUUUUUUUUU
rnacentral:lncRNA from 10 species